CAUGUGUGUGAGUGAAUGUGUAUGACUAAGUGUGUGUGAAUGUGUGCACGUUUAUGAAACAAAAAUAUGAGAGGUUACACCGUCUUAGUAUGUUUCAUUAACAUAACAUGACUAUAUGAUGUAAAUUACAUAAUCAAGACUUAUUGUAUAAUCAUUAGGUUACUUUUAUACGUAAUAUUACUUUUAUACGUAAUACUAUUGGAUUGAAAAGUUGUUGACAAAAUUCUCCAUCACCGACAUGUAUGUUGGUUUGAUCUUCGAAGGGCGGUAAAUCUCAGUUCAUCACCUUCCUCGUCAUUGAUAUCUCCAGGACUUCGACGAACGUGGGGUAUAGAAAUAGCAUUCACUGGAAGAGAAAAGGCGUUUUGUGUGUUGGAGUAUGCUGAAACACAGUUGAACAAGGUUGUGUUGCGUGCAUUUGUGAGAGUGUUCUCUAAAAAGUCACCAACGGCAAUGCAGAUUUGGACAUGGCACAAAAAAUUCAAAGAGGAAGGCUGUCUGUGCAGGGCAACAGGAUCUGGACGACCACUAACAUCGAAAGAGAUGGUCGAGUGGGUUUGCCAAAAACUCUUGUGAAGCCUCAAGAAGUCCAGAUUCUUCUAACGACAGUUUGGCACGUCCUGAGGAAACGCUUGCUAAUGAAAUCCUACAGGCUGCAGCUCGUUCAGGCCAUAAUGACAGAUGACAAGCGAAAGUGCAAGCAAUUCUGAAACUUGAAGAAGCCGAGUUCAAAGAACGUCUUGUUUUCAGUGAUGAGGCCCCAUUUCAUACAAAUGGCAAAGUCAAUAAGCAUAAUGUUUGCAUUUGGAGCGAAUAAAAUCCCCGUGCCACAGUUGAGCAUGAGAAGGAAUCACCAAAAGUGAAUGUGUUCUGCACCAUCUCCAAGAAGCAUCUUCAUGGCCCGUUUUUCUUUUCGUUCAUAGAAUCCAUAUACCUUUGAAUUUCUCAUUCAAAUUUGGAGGAAUAAAUCUUAUGUUGCUCAACAUGAAGCCUGUUUAGUUUCAUUCGCUUUGACUAUGUAGUUUCUGUGAUAUUUAUAUCUCAAAUGAUAUCAAAUUUUUUUAAACACCCUGUAUAUUGUGCACCAUCGUGUUCUGCUGUCAAAACCAGGAUACGUGAACCAUAUGAAGUCAUAUGAAAAUCGAAAUGCCCGAGCAGGUACUAAUCUAGAACUGCUUCUUAUAACUUGUGCCAUAUGUCACAAAAUUUGUAAGACAAUAAUCUAGACUAAAAAAUAUAUACUAAUUCACAAAAACAUUCCUUCAGAAUCAGAUUCUAAAGGGCAAAG